rnacentral:lncRNA from 1 species
UUCCUUUCAAUGUGGGAAGCGAUCCAGUUGAUUGCAUCCCAGGCGUCGUCGUACGCGGCGGGGAGGUUGUGCUCCGGAGCUUUCCUGUACUGUACGGAAACGGCUAUUACCUUGGCUUUGGCGACGAGGGAAGUGAGGUAGUUGUGGUAAGUGGGGGAGAAAGGGGACUCGAUGCAAAACGCGCCGCCGUGGAUGUAGAUGAGGAGCGGGAGUUUGGCGGUGGGGUCUGAGGUUUUGGGGAGGAAAAUACGAGCUGACGAUAGGGGAGGCACCGGUGCGUCUUUAGACCGAACGCCGGUUUUGGGGUCGUCGGACGCUGGGACCGUUACCGUUUUCCGGAGUCUCUCGGCGCGUCCGUCUUUGUAAAGUUGGAACAUGGGAUAUGAAGGGAAGAAUACACGGGCUAUUUCUGAGUUACUGCUUGAAGCCAUUUUAGAAGAAGAUGCUAAAUUAACCUCUUAAAGAAGAAAAAGAGUAUAUAGAUAGAUGAUGCAAAACGCGCCGCCGUGGAUGUAGAUGAGCGGGAGUUUGCGGGGGGGUCUGAGGUUUUGGGGAGGAAAAUACGAGCUGACGAUAGGGGAGGCACCGGUGCGUCUUUAGACCGAACGCCGGUUUGGGGUCUCGGACGCUGGGACCGUUACCGUUUUCCGGAGUCUCUCGGCGCGUCCGUCUUUGUAAAGUUGGAACAUGGGAUAUGAAGGGAAGAAUACACGGGCUAUUUCUGAGUUACUGCUGAAGCCAUUUUAGAAGAAGAUGCUAAAUUAACCUCUUAAAGAAGAAAAAGAGUAUAUAUAUAGAUAUGCAUGCACAUACUUUUUUUAUUAUAUUUUUUUCAUUUAUUUUCUAUUUACCUAACACAAAACCUAUCCCCACCAAACAUCUUUAAAAU